GAUGAACGCUGGCGGCGUGCCUAAUACAUGCCAGUCGAGCGAACGGACGAGAAGCUUGCUUCUCUGAUGUUAGCGGCGGACGGGUGAGUAACACGUGGAUAACCUACCUAUAAGACUGGGAUAACUUCGGGAAACCGGAGCUAAUACCGGAUAAUAUUUUGAACCGCAUGGUUCAAAAGUGAAAGACGGUCUUGCUGUCACUUAUAGAUGGAUCCGCGCUGCAUUAGCUAGUUGGUAAGGUAACGGCUUACCAAGGCAACGAUGCAUAGCCGACCUGAGAGGGUGAUCGGCCACACUGGAACUGAGACACGGUCCAGACUCCUACGGGAGGCAGCAGUAGGGAAUCUUCCGCAAUGGGCGAAAGCCUGACGGAGCAACGCCGCGUGAGUGAUGAAGGUCUUCGGAUCGUAAAACUCUGUUAUUAGGGAAGAACAUAUGUGUAAGUAGCUGUGCACAUCUUGACGGUACCUAAUCAGAAAGCCACGGCUAACUACGUG
rnacentral:rRNA from 1 species